AUGGAAUCGAUCUCGUCGAUGAAGAUGAUGGCCGGCGCAUUCUUCUCGGCCUCUUCAAACGCCUUCCUGAGGUUGCUCUCGCUCUCUCCGGCCAUCUUCGACAUGAUCUCCGGGCCAUUGAUCAGGAAGAAGAAGGCGCAUGUUUCAUUAGCCACAGCUCUGGCAAUGAGGGUCCUGCCGGUCCCAGGUGGCCCAUACAGCAAGAUACCCUUUGGAGGCUUCACACCGAUGCACUUGAACAGCUGGGGUGGCGCAGCGGGAGCUCAACCAGCUCUCUGA
rnacentral:rRNA from 1 species